UGGCACCAGGGCAGAGUUCAGCCUUUAGCAAAAGGCCUGCUCCUGGGAGGCACCCCAUGUGAACUUUGCCCAGAUCACCGCGUUGGUGGGUGCGGGGCUGGUGCGUACCGAUGGCCUCCAGGAUGAGCAUGUAGGUGGCUGUGGUCUCCCGGUCCAGGCUCACCACGGUUCUCACAACGGCAUCGCGGUAACCCACGCUGAACUUCCCAUCCAAGUUGCCACCUGUGGGUGAAGGACAGGAAGCUUUGGGCUGGGAAACAGAGCUCCCAGCCAGGGAAAGAGGGGGCUCUGCUCCUGAGCUGGGACCCGCCAUGGUGAGUCCAGGAGUGGGAGGCUGUGCUGUCGACUCAGCCCUGCCUGAGGCGCUCUGAUGCGGGUGCAGCUUAGGUGGGCUCAGUGGGGGUGCCAGAUGCCUGGAAUAAGUGCCCACCCUUCACGGAGCGCCUCCUGUGUACAGGCACUCCACACAGACCAUAUCCUUCAGCCUCCACUUUACAGAGGAGAACCCACUGCUCCAUGGCAUGCCUCUGCUGCUCUGGGUUCUCCGUGCCCGGGUCCCUGGGUGUGUCCUUCACCCCUCCACUCCCUGCCUGUCCUGUAGAAGCGUAUGAGCCACUAACCAGCAUAGGGGCUUGUAUAUGUGGCUGAGGACUCUGGGAUUGGCUGGGCGUCCCCCACAUCCCUCAUCUUGGAGGUGAGAUGGGCUGAGGACUGAAGCUCCCUGAGUGGGGACAUGGAGGCUCCACAGAGGCGGGAGUCAAGGCAGCUGCACAGGAGACAGGAAUUACUGAGUCUCCCUGAGUUCUCUGACAGGUGGGAAGCGUGAGGGUCUCCUCUUGGGGUGGAUGGGAGCCAGGAAGAACUCGCAUAAGUGUGGAGACCCCUCCCCUACCAGCUGGCAAGCAGUGUGGCAUUCUGGGCAGCAGAGGGCACCACGGCACCAGCUUUGUGGUGAGCUUGGGCAGGACUGGGCUCAGCUCCUUGCAGAAUGCACACGGAAAAUCCGGGAGGGCUCUGGGCAGGUCAGCAGGAGCCCGCCACUUUGGGGUGCUGAAGAGUCAUCCUGCAGACUGCCAGGUGCUCCUGUCCUUGCUGGUUUGCCCCUGGGGAAAGCCUCCUGAUCCUGUUACUAAGCCCUCCCUCAGGCCUACUUGAGGGCCAGACCGUGAGGGUGCUGGGCCCCUUCAGGGAGGCGAGGGAGGAAAGUACAGGCUGAGGGCUGGGAGGCCACAUUGACCACAGCAAAAGCCAUGGGCGGGCUGUGAGCCAGGCUUCUUGCUUCAUGGGGAGGCAUCCGGGAGGCUGGUAUGUGCCCUGCCCAUGUGUACAGAAGCACAGAUGCCUAGGCAACAUGUGUGUUGGUAGGCAGGUCCUGGACAGAGAGAAGACUGAGCUGGUAAAAGAGCCAAGGGGGGUUGAAGAACGGGGAAGACUGUGCCUCCAUGUGUCCCGGCACCUCUCAUGUGUGUCAGGGAGGCUGAGAAGCUGUUCUCAUCCAGGAAUGGCAAGUCCAAGGCAUGUGUGCCACCACCUACCAAUCCUCCCACCGUGGCAGACAUCACUAAUCCACUGCGGCCCUCUUUCCCCUGUGAGCCAGGACACAGCCUCAUCAUCUGUGGCCACAGCUCUCCAGUUCAGCCAGACCACCCGGAACUCGCGCGGCACGUCCUCGGACACGGACACGUUGUACACGGCUGGGAAGAAGGAAGCCCUCCCAGAUUUGGAGCAGCUGUUCCAGCUUGAGGACCCCCACCAUGAUCUGGAGCUCAAUUACCUAGAAGACAGGAGUCGCAGGCUGCCCCUCCCCGCUUUGCUUGAUUUGUGAGACAGCAACAACAAAAACAAAAUGACAUCAAGGGUUCUUUUGUAAAAGUCACUUGAGGGUUUCAUUAUUAUUUUUUAAAAAGUCAUUUGUGACCAUGUACAGGCAACCCUCCUCCCUAAUUCCAUUUGCACCUCCAGCCCCCAUCAGAUUACCUGACUCAAGACCCUGGUACCCUGG